rnacentral:lncRNA from 1 species
AGGGACGAGACUAACCUGAAAGAAUCUUUAAAAACAAAUUUCAGAAUCGAAAAUAACCUCGCCUCAAUCUCAAUACCCAAAUCGUAAACUCAGUCGGACUAAACGGUGGAAAUUCUGAACUCCACGGCCCCUCAAUCAGUUUCCAUGAAAGAACAGUCAAAACAAGACUGAAUCUCUUUUUUUCUUAUUUUUGAAUUAAACCAAACUAAAAAACAAACUAAAAUCAAAGAUGGAAAACCAAAAUCAGAAGAUUAAUUAAGGUUGAAUUAAGUGUGAAGAGGGUGAGGAAUGACUGAUUUUUUGGGGGAUAAACAGUGGUGAUUUGCUGCGCUGGUUCAGGGAGGUUGAAGAUGAAGGGGUGUCGCCGUUUUCCAGCCACUCGCCGGUGAGGUAGUAGCGGAACGAAGGGGUGAGGCGUGGGGUUUUCUGGUUUGUCGGUUCUACUGCUAAUGGCGUCGAUGGUCCGUUGAAGAAGAAGAGAGAGACGAUAUGGGUAGGGUUAUUUUGGUCGAAGAUGGCUGAUGAUGAAGGAUGAGCUCAAAGGGGCGGGGGUAUGUGAAGAAGACGAUCCGAAGGGGGGAGGGG